UUAAAGAUGCCCAUACAAUACCAGUGCAACUUAAAUAAUCACAGCUAAAUAUUGACUAUAUGUGGAACAGAUUUUAUCCCUGAACUCUGCAAGAUAUAUUCAUGUAACUGCACCACACCAGCUAUCAGACAUGAAUCUUUAAGAAGAAACAGGGUAAAAUUGUGGAUUCUUGACUGCCUUGGCUCUUUCUGCCUCCAUUGGCAAGGAAAAGUUUAAUCACAGUUAAAAAAAAGACACUGCUCUCUGGAGAAUUUGCUUGGAUAUGGGUGAGUUAUUGCACUCAAAUUCCUUGUGAGAAUUACUCCCUCUCUGAAAGUACUAAAAUACAGGUAUAAGCAUCAGAUCCAGAAGAACCAGAGGAGUGCAAUGGCUGGUACAUCUCACACAGUGUAAAGGAUUGCAGGGGAGAGCAACAACAGCAAAAGGAUGUGACCUUUUAAUUGCAUCCAGAAAUCUGGAGUUUCCCUGUCCCAACUGCAUGGACUGCAGACAUUUGACAAAUGGGGAAGAGAAAAAGCAGAAUCAAAAGGAAGCACAUGUUGAUCCAUGUUCAUACAGGGAAAAGGAAUGGUUUUCCAGGGUAAAUAAAGAAGUUUGCAUUGAACUUUUUGCCAGAGUUGGUGUUAAAAUCUCUCACCUAUAUAUUGAGCUUAUCUUCCCAAGAAUUGAAGCAAAUUCAGCAAAAUUGAGUGAGCUGAGAACCCAGUGAGACUUCAGCCAGAUUGCCAUUGUUAGAUUUUAAUACACAUAAAACUUGAACAUGCAUUUACACACCCUGCAACUUGCUGUUAACUACAGAGGGCAAA